GCCGGCACCGAUGCGUCAGGUCAUUCUGAGCAAAGGUUUUUUUCAGUCGGAUCGGGCUGGAACUUCACCGAAAAUUAUCUGCAUGUACUACUGAUCCAAACGUGAAUUAGCUGGUCAUAGCUUGCAUUCUGCUUCCUCCGUGGAAAACCUGCUGAGGCAGAACGCAGCGCUGCUGAUGCCGAAGUGCUUAUUCUGAGGCUUCAAGCAGGCUCCUGUCCAGCAGCUCUUCUGGAUGCAUUUCCACAUCCAUUCUUCCCAGGACUAGGUUUUUGGAUUCAGUAAAAGUGCAAGAAGCGCAGCCUGUGUUUAUCACCCAGUGCAGUUGACUUCUUUCCCCACUGGGAAAUGACUUGCUUUUGAUCUAGUGUUCUCUCCAUAAGCUGUGUGAGUCCAUGAUCUGUUUUCUGCUUGCUGUAGUAUGACAAAGCUGCUAUCAAGUUUUAGCCUCAGGCUGCCAAAAUCUGAGCCUGGAACUUGCCCAGAUAGGAACAGUCACUAAACAAAACAGGCUUUAUAAAGAAGCUUCCUGUAACCCUAGUUAAACUUUUCUUGCUUCAUCCCUGCAUCAAAAAAAGACUGGCUGUGUGCAGUAUGGCAUGAAGAAGUGGUCUGUAGGAGGAGAGC